GCUUUAUGUGGAUUGGGUCUUCUUAUUAUUGGUAUUGUCUUUGAGUGUAUGUCGCCGGCUUUGUUCUGUUGUGUACUGGAAUUGGAGGAUUUUUUAUGCGUGGGGAUUUCCAUUCGUUCUUCUCGUAUUGGUCUAUGGUGCAACAAACAGGAAUCGUCUUGUGAGGCUUGUUAGAUUGGAGAGAUUUGUCCUGCUUCACUUACUGAGGCUGUAGUUUUAUAAUCUGGGGUGAAGAAGUGAUCUUGUAUGUUUUUCGGUUCCAACUCACAUAAGGGUAUCCCUUACCUUACAAGAAGCAUCAAGGAACAACUAGAAAAUAUCCAUACCUUGAGCAAGAGAAACUAUGAGGUUACCGACCUUAAUGAUGUUGCCUCAUCUGGACUACGAGGACGAGAAGCUGCAGAACGUGUCCACGGAAUCUCAAGAGCCUGAAUGAAGGAACUGAUGGAGUAGUGGAAGAAGUCCCUGGACAGUGAGGGCAUCGACUUGCCCCUGGUGUUGACCUCCAAGUGUGGGUGGAGCUCCAACAUGUAGAAUGUCAUGCAAGCUCUUAGACACGAGCAAGCAGGCAUGUGUACAUGCGCGGCCUCGAGAUGAACCCAUCAUCAAGGACAAUGUCACCUAGGUGGACAGCUCAAUUUGCCAAGCGCCGUUUUGUAUACUUGCUACCACAUAUAGUUGUCCAUGUACCUAGUUGUCCUGACACUAGCUAGCUCAAAAUUACCAGCUUGAUUGUAUAUAGAUGUUUGGUUUGCUUCUAGGUUUCGAUGUGUAGUAUGGAUACACUGGGCAUUUGAUUAUAUGAUGUUAAUUGAAAAAAGAAGGGUGGUUUGCUUUUGAGUCCAAUUUAA